rnacentral:rRNA from 1 species
AUUGAACGCUGGCGGCAGGCCUAACACAUGCAAGUCGAGCGGAGCGGCGGACGGGUGAGUAAUGCCUAGGAAUCUGCCUGGUAGUGGGGGAUAACGUCAGGAAACGGGCGCUAAUACCGCAUACUAUCAGAUGAGCCUAGGUCGGAUUAGCUUGUUGGUGGGGUAAAGGCCCAACAAGGCGACGAUCCGUAACGGGUCUGAGAGGAUGAUCAGUCAAAACGGAAAUGAGACAAGGUUCCGAUCCCUACGGGAGGCAACAGGGGGGAAUAUUGGAAAAUGGGGGAAAGCCCUAUCCAGGCCUGCCGCGGUGUGGAAGAAGGUCUUCGGAAUUUAAAGCACUUUAAGUUGGGAGGCGUUACCAACAGAAUAAGCACCGGCUAACUUCGUGCCAGCAGCCGCGGUAAUUC